rnacentral:rRNA from 1 species
GGCCUGAGAGGGUGAUCGGACACACUGGAACUGAGACACGGUCCAGACUCCUACGGGAGGCAGCAGUAGGGAAUAUUGCUCAAUGGGGGAAACCCUGAAGCAGCAACGCCGCGUGGAGGAUGAAGGUUUUAGGAUUGUAAACUCCUUUUGUAAGAGAAGAUUAUGACGGUAUCUUACGAAUAAGCACCGGCUAACUCCGUGCCAGCAGCCGCGGUAAUACGGAGGGUGCAAGCGUUACUCGGAAUCACUGGGCGUAAAGAGCGCGUAGGCGGGAGAGUAAGUCAGAUGUGAAAUCCUGUAGCUUAACUACAGAACUGCAUUUGAAACUACUUAUCUAGAGUAUGGGAGAGGUAGGUGGAAUUCUUGGUGUAGGGGUAAAAUCCGUAGAGAUCAAGAGGAAUACUCAUUGCGAAGGCGACCUGCUGGAACAUUACUGACGCUGAUGCGCGAAAGCGUGGGGAGCAAACAGGAUUAGAUACCCUGGUAGUCCACGCCCUAAACGAUGAAUGCUAGUUGUUGCCCUGCUUGUCAGGGCAGUAAUGCAGCUAACGCAUUAAGCAUUCCGCCUGGGGAGUACGGUCGCAAGAUUAAAACUCAAAGGAAUAGACGGGGACCCGCACAAGCGGUGGAGCAUGUGGUUUAAUUCGAGGAUACGCGAAGAACCUUACCUAGGCUUGACAUUGAUAGAAUCCGCUAGAGAUAGUGGAGUGCUGGCUUGCCAGAGCUUGAAAACAGGUGCUGCACGGCUGUCGUCAGCUCGUGUCGUGAGAUGUUGGGUUAAGUCCCGCAACGAGCGCAACCCUCGUCCUUAGUUGCUAGCAGUUCGGCUGAGCACUCUAAGGAGACUGCCUUCGUAAGGAGGAGGAAGGUGAGGACGACGUCAAGUCAUCAUGGCCCUUACGCCUAGGGCUACACACGUGCUACAAUGGGACAUACAAAAAGRUGCAAUACCGCGAGGUGGAGCAAAUCUCUAAAAUGUCUCUCAGUUCGGAUUGUAGUCUGCAACUCGACUACAUAAAGCUGGAAUCGCUAGUAAUCGCAAAUCAGCAAUGUUGCGGUGAAUACGUUCCCGGGUCUUGUACUCACCGCCCGUCACACCAUGGGAGUUGUAUUCGCCUUAAGUCGGGAUACUAAAUUGGUUACCGCCCACGGCGGAUG